rnacentral:rRNA from 1 species
AGCAGCCGCGGUAAUUCCAGCUCCAAUAGCGUAUAUUAAAGUUGUUGCAGUUAAAAAGCUCGUAGUUGAAUUUCGGGGUCAGUAGAUUGGUCAUGCCACUGGUAUGUACUGGUCUCACUGAUUCCUCCUUCCUGAUGAGCCGUAAUGCCAUUAAUUUGGUGUUGCGAGGAAUCUGGACUGUUACCUUGAAAAAAUUAGAGUGUUUAAAGCAGGCUAACGCUUGAAUACAUUAGCAUGGAAUAAUGAAAUAGGACGUUCGAUCUUAUUUUGUUGGUUUCUAAGAUUGACGUAAUGAUUAAUAGGGAUAGUUGGGGGUCAUUAGUAUUCAAUUGUCAGAGGUGAAAUUCUUGGAUUUAUUGAAGACUAACUACUGCGAAAGCAUUUGCCAAGGAUGUUUUCAUUAAUCAAGAACGAAAGUUAGGGGAUCGAAGACGAUCAGAUACCGUCGUAGUCUUAACCAUAAACUAUGCCGACUAGGAAUCAGACGAUGUUAAUUUUUAAUUGACUCGUUUGG